ACCACAAUCGAGGAAUCAAGGGUGCUGCAGCUGCGGUGUUGCGGAUGUGCCGCAGCAAGUGGCGCGCAAACGGGACCACAAGCAGGGACCUGAGCAGGGACCUGGAACAAGGAUCUGAAACUACAGCAGAGAAGGAGCCCCAACGGGUAAAGAACCAAGGCCUUGGACAUUUCCCGCUGUCUACGUUGUUAGCCACACCGAGACGGCGAAGAUACCCACCUGGGGUCAGAUCAAGAAGUUGACCCAGAGAGCGGAAGAAGUGCUGCGUAGUGAACAGCAGCCCUUUACCCCUAGCAAUAUGGCUGUUACUAUGAUGGCCUUAUUGACGGUAGCCUCCUCAGAUGCCAAAGAAGAGCCUUCUGACGAGUGAUGAAGUGCGAAGUGGCCAAGUCCGCCUACCUGCUUCUGCAAAAAGAAAAAGGGGGAGAUGCAGCAGCCACUGGCUGAAGACUUAUGUUAGGGAUAUAAUAGGAAAGACAUGUUUUCUGGUGACCUUGCGGGCUUCAUUGUUAAGCCAAGGAUCAAGUGGCCGGGAAGGCCCGUUCGCAAGCAGUCGGGAAUGCUCGGCUCCUCUAGCGGCCCGGAACGCCCAGCCUGCCCGCCAGUUGGAAACACCCAGCUGUUUUGGGGCAGAACACUGCUGAAAUCUGAUUGCCCUUGGCUUGACGAUGGCCCUUGGGGCCCCUAGAAACAUGUUUAAGAAUAGGCCCCACUUACUAAAUGUUACAUCACCUGAUCCCCUGGCCUUCUCCUGAUGUGCCACCAUCCCCUGACCUUCCCAGUGAUCAUGACGCACCAUCCCGUGACCC